CUCUGCCAUCAUCCUAGGAAAUGUGGCCCAGCCAGGCUGCUGAACCACCUCGCACGAGAAGCACGUGGAGCAGACCCAGACGGAGCGGCGCUGGGCGCUGGCCUCCCGGCUGAGCCAGCCUGGAUCUGCCAAGGGGCGGGCUGGGUGUGUAUGCCAGGGACAUGGUCCUUACACAGCACCUCGCAGCUGACUUCUCUGGCCCCGCGUGACCACAGCCCAGCCCAUGCUUCAUCCUCCCAGCAGCCUGCACAGGCGGCACCACCCUCGUGCCCAGGCCACCGCUGUCCAGAAACAUCGGGGCUCGCGUGCGCUGCCGACGUGGAGUGGCCCCGCUGCUGAGACGUCCCUGUGCCUCCCGUCAAGGAUCUGGGGACCUUGGCGCCCCCCAUUGCCUUGUCGCCUGCCCUUGGCAAGAGAAUGAAAAAAGCCAGAUGAAGACCAGGGCCAGACAGAGCACCGUUUGUUAGAAGGCGCUGGGGACCGGCGGGGCAGCCAGGACUCCGAGCCUGCAGGACAGAAGGG
rnacentral:lncRNA from 9 species